AGCUUUUCCCUGUGGCAGUAUCACAGCCAAUGAAGUGUAAUUGAGGCAUGAUUAUUGCUAAUUAAAAGUAUCAUCAAACAAGGACAAUGCCCUAUUCUAUUUCCCUGAAGUUUCUUAUGAGG
rnacentral:snRNA from 1 species